rnacentral:rRNA from 1 species
CACGUAGGGCGCAAGCGUUGUCCGGAAUUAUUGGGCGUAAAGAGCUCGUAGGCGGUCUGUUGCGUCCGCUGUGAAAACUCGGGGCUUAACCCCGAGCCUGCAGUGGAUACGGGCAGACUAGAGUGUGGUAGGGGAGACUGGAAUUCCUGGUGUAGCGGUGAAAUGCGCAGAUAUCAGGAGGAACACCGGUGGCGAAGGCGGGUCUCUGGGCCGAUACUGACGCUGAGGAGCGAAAGCGUGGGGAGCGAACAGG